AAAAAAAAAAAAAAAGAGAAGAAAUUAUCGUCAAAAUUCCUCUGCCACAAUUUCUUCUCACAGGCUAGACUUGCUUCCUUUCAUUUCCAUCCAGCUACAACCCCUCACACUGGCUCUUUACCACGUGGGAUUUCUUUUUUAUUUUAUUUUUUGACACGUGGUACUGUCAUGUAAGCUUUUUACUGGAAAUCUAACCAGAUUAUGAUGAGAGAGAUUUUAGUGUAACAUUUUCGAAGUUUCGGGAUUUUAGUGUAGCAUUUUUGAAGUUUAGGAAUUUUGUGAUAACAAAAUGAAGGUGAAGGACAGAAGUGAAACAGCCCCAAAGCUGAGGGAUGGUUGAUAAAAUUACCCAAUAAAUUUAUCAUAUGAUAUAUAUAGAAAUUAUAUUAUGGAUUUAAAUUGUUGAAGUUGUUAAAAUUGGAAUUUGCUUUUGUUCUAAAUAAUUAUGAUUUUGAAAUUAUUUUUAGGAUCAAAUUUCUUCCUAAGAUUAUCAUGUGAUUCUUCCUUUGACUUUUCAUUGUUUGUUUCAUUAAAUGGAUGGGGUAAUUGAAAAAUCAAUUUCGGACUUUCAGAAGAUCGUCAUUCUCUUUCUUCUUGUUGUAUGAAAAUUGCCUUGUU
rnacentral:misc_RNA from 1 species